rnacentral:rRNA from 1 species
AGUUCGAUUCUGGCUCAGAUUGAACGCUGGCGGGAUGUUUACACAUGCAAGUCGAACGGCAGCACUUGACUUCGGUCUGGUGGCGAGUGGCGAACGGGUGAGUAAUGUAUCGGAACGUGCCUAGUAGCGGGGGAUAAUCACGCGAAAGCGUAGCUAAUAAUGCAAUACGCCCUUCGGGGGAAAGGGGACCUUUCGGGCCUCGCAAUCAUUAGAGCGGCCGAUAUCGGAUUAGCUAGUUGCGGGGUAACGGCUCACCAAGGCGACGAUCCGUAGCUGGUUUGAGAGGACGACCAGCCACACUGGGACUGAGACACGGCCCACUCCGGCCAGGGAGGCAGCAGGGGGAAUUUUGGACAAUGGGGAAAACCCUGAUCCAGCCAUCCGGUGUGCGAUGAAGGCCUUCGUUGUAAAGCACUUUUGGCAGGAAAGAAACGGCACGGAUAAUACCCCCGCAGCAUCGACGGUACCUGCGGAAUAAGCACGGUUAACUACGUACAGCAGCCGCGGUAAUACGUAGGGUGCAAGCAUCGGAAUUACCGGGCGUAAAGCGUGCGCAGGCGGUUCGGAAAGAAAGAUGUGAAAUCCCAGAGCUUAACUUUUUGAACUGCAUUUUUAACUACCGAGCUGGGAGUGGUGUCGAGGGAGGUGGAAUUCGCUGUAGCAGUGAAAUGCGUAGAUAUGCGGAGGUACCACCGAUGGCGAAGGCAGCCUCCCGGAUAACACUGACGCUCAUGCACGAAAGUGCGGGGAGCAAACAGAUUAGAUACCCUGGUAGUCCACGCCCCAAACGAUGUCAAGCUGUUGGGGCCUUCGGGCCUUUCGGUAGCGCAGCUAACGCGUGAAGUUGACCGUCUGGGGAUACGUCAAGAUUAAACCCGAAGGAAUGGAUGGACCCGCACAAGCGGUGGAUGAUGGGACACCUCGAUGCAACGCGAAAAACCUUACCUACCCUUGACAUGUUCGAAUCCCGAAGAGAUUUGGGAGUGUCGUGAGAACCGGAACACAGGUGCUGCAUGGCUGUCGUCAGUUCGUGUCGUGAGAUGUUGUUGUCCUGCAACGAGCGCAACCUCCUUGUUGGUUAUACGAAAGGCACUCUAAUGAGAUCGCUGGUGACAAACUGGAGGAAGGUGAUGACGUCAAGCCUCAUGGCCCUUAUGUAGGGCUUACACGUCAUACAAUGGUCGGGACAGAGGUCGCCACCCGGGCAGUGGGAGCCAAUCCCAGAAACCUGAUCAGUCCGGAUCGCAGUCUGCAACUCGACUGCGUGAAGUCGGAAUCGCUAAUCGCGGAUCAGCAUACGUGUGAAUACGUCUCCGGGUCUUGUACACACCGCCCGUCACACUAUGUGGAGUGGGUUUUACCAGAAGUAGUUAGCCUAACCGUAAGGAGGGCGAUUACCACGGUAGGAUUCAUGACUGGGUGAAGUCGUAACAAGGUAA